UACGAGGGGGGCUAAUGUUGUUCGGAAUCACUGGGCGUAAAGGGCGUGUAGGCGGUCAGGUUAGUGAGAUGUGAAACGCCCCGGCUCACCCGGGGACCUGCAUCUCAAACUGCCUGGCUUGAGUAUGGGAGAGGAUGAGGGAAUUCCUGGUGUAGCGGUGAAAUGCGUAGAUAUCAGGAGGAACACCGGUGGCGAAAGCGCUCAUCUGGCCCAAUACUGACGCUGAGGCGCGAAAGCUAGGGGAGCAAACGGG
rnacentral:rRNA from 1 species